GAUGAAGAACGCAGCGAAAUGCGAUAAGUAGUGUGAAUUGCAGAAUUCAGUGAAUCAUCGAAUCUUUGAACGCACAUUGCGCCCCUUGGUAUUCCAUGGGGCAUGCCUGUUCGAGCGUCAUUUGAACUCUCAAGCUUUGCUUGGUGUUGGGUGUUUGUCCCGCGUUGCGCGUGGACUCGCCUUAAAGCGAUUGGCAGCCGGCAUAUUGGCCUUGGAGCGCAGCACAUUUUGCGCUUCUAGUCAUGAAUGUUGGCGUCCAUUAAGCCUAUACAUUUGCUCUUGACCUCGGAUCAGGUAGGGAUACCCGCUGAACUUAAGCAUAUCAAUAAGCGGAGGA
rnacentral:misc_RNA from 1 species